CUCAUUUCUGUUUCCUGUUGAAGACACCAAGGGCCCUUCAAAACACACAAGCUUCUUGCUCACGGCAUAAAGCCCAAUUCCCUCUGGCCCCUGCAGGUUGGCUCAGCACUGGGGAAUCAGUGUCCCCUCCAUGACCAAGGCACCACUCCACUGACAGGGUUUCUGGAGGUGAAUAAAGUCAGAAAGGGCAUUCAAAAGGCUGUGAACAUCUCCACCUUAUAUAGGUCUUCUUACUGGAGCUGGCAGCCAAUGAGGGUAAUGAUACAGAAAAGGUCCAGGAGCUGAGACAAGGGUCCUUUUGAGCGCCUAUGUGGGAGGCUCUGGAAAGCUUAGCAACACUUUCCAACAACUUUGCCAGGGUCAUAUCUCCCAGGAAGAUCUCACUUCCCCAAAGAAUCGCCUGGCUUGGCCUCCUGCAGUGCCACGCUCCGUGUAUUUGACAAGCUGAGUUGGACACUCCGUGUGGUAGAGUGUCAGUUUGUCAAAUACCCCAAGUGCGGCAUAUGCUUACCAGCUCCAGGCCAGGGCAGAUGGCAUAUGACGAAUGGACUGCCAGCUGGAUUCAAGGAUGCUCACCAAGCACCAAGUUCUCACAAGUUAUUUUAUGUGACUCUGCAGGAACUGAGGCAUUUUUUUCUGAGGACACCAGAGGAAAAGUGUAGCAUCUCUGGGAAAUACAGCCCUGGGCUGAGUCUACACACACCAUGAAAGUGCUGAUGGUGGUGCAAUAGACUUGAAAAUGUAUAAUGGGUUCAAGAAUGGAAGUGCUCUUUGAUUCUUUAUUAUUUUCUUCCUUCACAUUCCCCUCCCAGAGUUUCCCAUGUAGGACAUCAGAAUUCUCACACAAGCAUCACGGCUUAUGUGAGUAAGCUGGGGUUAGAAAUUCACUUUCUUGACACUCAGUCUUGCCUUCUAAACACUCCUUGAUCUUGCCUACCUCUUCCCUUUUCCACGUGUCUUUUCCUCUAGGAACACUUUCUCCGUUUAUUUCUGCCUAUCCAGUUCUUCCCUAUAUUUCCUGUAUCAGCUAACGUCCACUGUUUCCAGAGACUUUUGAAAGUCAACUUAUAUUUUUUCCUUCUUCAUUCACAAAGCACUUCUUGCCUGGGCCCUGGCAUGUGCCCCUUUCUCUCCUACUGUCUAACAGCACCUCUUGAAUUGUCAAUGAACUUUUCUAGGGGGUUUUCUUGAAUUCCCAACUAGAUUGUGAGCUUCUAGAAGACAAGACUAUGUCUUUGAUUGCUGUCUCCCCUACCAAAACCCAGUACUUUAGUUACAGAAAAUAAUAAACGUUUACUGAUUGACUGAC